ensembl:lncRNA MIR3147HG MIR3147 host gene
GGCGGGGCGCAGUUCUUGCGGGAGGAGCGGGGCGGUGCGCUCCUGGCCACGCAGGCUGGAAACUGUAGCUCUUAACGGUUCCCCGCCCGUUGGUGGCAAGGCGGCUGGACUAGAAUCCUAGCAGGCGAUAUGCGAGAAGGCGGGCAGCCCAAGAGGGUUGGGCAGGGCAGUGUGGAUCUCGCCGCUUCCACAGCGAUGCUGGCUACUGAUUUCGGACACCUCCUUGCCAUGGGAUGGAAAUUAAUGUUAUGACUGGAUAAGACAAUUGUGAAGAAACUGCACUUCGAGGUUGUCUGUCUCCGUAUUCCGAUGGAAAAGGCUGGACUUUAGAAGCAUUGCUCGCUCCUUCAGUUUCUAACAAGCCAGUUCUUGGAGAUACUAGGAAGCCAAGAGUUUCCUCCAGGAAUGGAGAUUCCUUGGAAGUGAGGUUCACCUUGAGUCAAGAAAGACGAAUCACACACGGUCAAAGGCAAUUGCCCAGGGUCUCAAGAACAGAGCCAGAAAGAAGAGCUGGGGCCGGCGGGAUUGUGGGGGUCCUCUCUCCCACCUGAAAAGCUACAGCUGCCUGCCGAUCCUCUCAAGAGGAGACCUCUCUGGGCUCCAGCACCUAAAACAGACAAACCUGGGAGGAUGCUUCUCUCUUCUGUGUCACACGUGUCCUGGAGAAAACCCAUGUAUCUGAAUGACCAAAGAAAAGUAUGAGAAAAAGUGCAAAAUCUGUGCCAGGCCAUUCAGUGUCUGGCUGGGGCUCUGGGGUGCACAUGCAUUCCAAGAAGACUGAAGGGUGCCAAGCCUGCAGGAAAUGUCCAUCAGACCUGCCUCUCACACCUGGAGUAGGACUGCCCGUCCAGCUUCAUGAUGCAGAACUGUCUUUAAAAGGUGACUGCAGAUAUGGAGAGAGGGAAUUCUAACCCUGAUAGAACAUGACCAGCUGUCCUGCUGGGGAAAGCUGCAUCUACCAGUGACACGCUGCUCAAACUGGCCCAGGACACACUCUUACUACUUAAGGAAUAAGCCCCACAUUUGCUCUUUGUGGGUAAAAGGAGAGGGUGAGAGAGGAGGGGAGUGUCCGCACAGACAUGAGAAGCCUGCAGAUCCAGAUGACCCCUUGCUGAUCAGAAUAUGAAAGAUCGAUAUGCGGAAACAAUGACCCCAUAGCAGAUGAGCUUCUAGAGCAGGCUUCAACCAUGGGUCAUCUGGACCCACUGGUGGAGAAGUCUGCCCCCACUCUAUGUUGAUGGUCUGGGGGAUACCAUUACUGAGACAGAUUUAAGAAAUAAUCUCUACCUGUUGGCGAAAUCUGGAUGGUCACUUGUGCGAGACAGCAGUGUGCUCUCAUCAGCUUUCCACAGGGCAGGCUGCGGAAAUGGUGCUGAGAAGUCCUUUUGUAAAUUGAUUGUCCAUGGCUGCAGACUUACCAUCAAAUGGAAGAAGAUUCCAAGCUCUCAAAGAAAAGGAAAAAUAGAAGGAUGGAACCACAGACUCUGGGAUCCUGCCAGAGCCUAUUUCAGUGCUGCCAGGAGCUCCUCCUCCCCCUGCAGCUCUGGUCCCCACCUUGGAGCCUCCUUCCAAGGAGUGAGACUACCUUUCUGACUUUUUCUGACCAUAGACACCUUUUCUGACUUUUUCUGUCCUUGGCACCUGCUGAGGACAGCAGACCCAGGGACCCGGGCUCCUGGGCCCAUUCUUGCCCAGCUUCUUCUUGAUCAUGUGACUUGAAGGCAUUCUUGUGCAGUGGAAGCAGGGCCCCAGGACCAUCUGAUAGAUUGAUGGUCUCUGGCCUCUGCUCCACUGAUGGUCGGAUGGUGGCCACUCAGGGUGUGAGAGCCUAGCCAUCGCUGCUUCCUUGAGUUGAAGAGGUUGGAGGCUGGUCCACCUGCUCCUAUCCCACCCUUGGCGAUGUGGAUGGUUGCUCUUUGAGCCUGGUAACGUCACUGCCUUGGCCCUGCCAGGCAUGCCUGCCUUGUGGGGGCCCUGCGUACCCACACACUACUUUAAGGGGCUUGCUCUUCCUUGGGCCAAAUUCUAGUUUUGGCCAGUGCCCCAGGAAGUUCAGUCCCCUGUUUUGUUAUCUUGGCUAUUUCUGGGGCACCCGUGGUUCUCCUGGGUCCCUUUUCUCCCAGGGCUUGGGCUGGGCUUGGCAUCUGUAGGUCUGGGAUGUUUGCCCUGUGAGGGAGGCUCUGUCACACAAGUGGGCAGGCAUGGGGACAUGUGACAGGCUGCUGGCUGGCUAGGGCUCUGAAGAUGCCACAAUCCUUCUCCUCUACAGCAGCCUCUGAGUCCAGCUUCCACAUUGACACUGAUUUCACCGGGCGCAGGAGCUGCCUGGGGUUGUCUGGGUGCUGUCUUGGCUCCUUUAAGGCUGUGCUGCUCAGUGGCCCCUGAGAAAGGUCAGGUCCAGGUGCCACCAUGCAAGGGGAGUGUCUAUGGCCCUACUGCUGGGAUUUCAGUGGGCUGGGCAAGGCCUGGUUGUGGGGGCCCUGAUGGUCUUCAGGGCCAGGGCCUGUCCUAUGGUCCUGGGGGUGUCCAGGGAAGAUGAAAGAACAGGGGUUCGGCAUCCCUGCUCAAAGCUGCACUGUGGACACCAUGAGCCCCGGAUGUCCAGGUCCAUGGGGAGUUUGGGAGAGAAUUUCAACACAGAACUCACCAAAAAUCCCAUGGUCUAUCCUGAGAUAGGAACAGACUUUCCACAUCUUGAGCCGCUGGGCCCCCAGAGAGUGACCUGCUGUCGUGGGCUCUAUGGAAUUCUCAUGCUGCUGGGCCUUGGCCUCAGGUCAGCUUCUGGGCUUCUGGAGCUGGGCUGGUGGGCCAGGGAGGGCCAGCCCACCCCCCUUGGGAAGGGUCUCCAUGCUGAGGGAUGCCCACAGAGGCCUGGGUGCCAGAGACACUCACCCCAGGACCAGGGCCUUCGUAGAGAUCUUUGUAUGUUUAGCUGAAUGGAAAGUGAACUUGGUCCACUUCUCCCCCAA